GUUAUCUAAAUGCAACUGUGUCCCUUUUUUUAAUGAUUCAGUUCACACUUCAUGUUGUUGUUAUUGCCCCAACUUUAUUUUCCAUUUUCAUUGCUAUGAUAUUUAAUCUUGUUGAUGGGAAGCUUCCCACAGGAGUGGAAAUCAUCUAUCGGACCGAUGGCAAGCUAUUCAACCUCAACAGAUUGAAAGCCAAAACCAAGGAUGUUCUGCAGCGUCACUCUGGAAUCCCUCGCUCCCUAAAGAGCAGCCACAGCUUCUCCUCCAAGGCCGGAUGAGUCCCACGCAAGCCCUUCACCACCUCCGAGGCCCAGAGAAAGUAAUCCUGGACCCGCUUUUCAGACCAACCUGUCCAAAGAGAGACCUCGCAGUCAGAAAGUGACAAACGUGUUUGUCAUGUGUCUCCUGUCAGAGCGACUCUGUCUCAUGGCUAGGAGGCACGGAGCUUCUCAGAGCCAGAGACUAAAGAGGCUAAAGCUUCAGCUGGAAAGAUACAUUUUCUUUCCCUGUGAUCCAAGGAGUCACAGGAAAGGUGUUUUGGACUUCAACUUCCAGAAAGCUGGCUUCUUUAGCAACUACUGUCCAAGAGAUGCUAUCCAAAAUUGCACAGCUGAUCUUGAGAACUCCCUUCUUGGGCUGCCAUUGCAAUAUCGUUCCCUGAACCCUACUUUCAAAAUUCCACACAGUUCCCAUUUGGAGAAGCUUCAUUUCAUAUUGCUGCAUUCCACUUUGAGGAUGUAUUUGUUGCAAUUUGUAUAUAAAUUAAGUAUAUUCAUGAUUAAUUAUGAAGUCAGAAUGACUAAAGCAGUGGUCCCGUGGGCUCCACGAAGCAUACUUAGGGGCUCCACAGUGUCCUCCUCCUUCCUCCCCCUCCAAGCUUUCCCUCCUCUUUUCUGCUCCUCCCCCCCCCCCCUCACUGCCAAAAGCCCUUUUUCUUCACCUUCCAGAUACUUUCCCCCUCACAUUGCUUGCUUCCAAAACCCUAUUUCCCUCCCACAGCUUAGGGGGUGCUUUGAUUGUGUUUUUCCUGCAAGGCAGAAGAGGGUUGGACUGGAUGGUCCCUGGGGUCUUCCACUGAUAUACUAUUAAGUCUCUAAUAGUAAAAAAAAAGUUUGCCACUGCCUGAUACAUAGGUAUUUUAUAUAUAAUAUAAUAUAAAAAAACAUUUCUUGGGGUGCCACAAGAAACUUUUGCUUCACAAAGGGCUCUGCAGCUGAAAAAGCUUGAGAACCCCUGGACUCGAAAAAUCUCAGUGGCUGAUGUAACCAUGAAGAGUCAUAGAAUAAUAGAGUUGGAAGAGAUCACAUGGGCCAUCUAGUCCAAAUCCCUGCCAUGCAACUAUGUACAGUAGAGUCUCACAUAUCCAAGCCUCGCUUAUCCAAGCUUCUGGAUAAUCCAAGCCAUUUUUGUAGUCAAUGUUUUCAAUAUAUCGUGAUAUUUUGGUGCAAAAUUCGUAAAUACAGAAAUUACAACAUAACAUUACUGCGUAUUGAACUACUUUUUCUGUCAAAUUUGUUGUAUAACAUGAUAUUUUGGUGCUUAAUUUGUAAAAUCAUAACCUAAUUUGAUGUUUAAUAGGCUUUUCCUUAAUCCCUCCUUAUUAUCCAAGAUAUUCGCUUAUCCAAGCUUCUGCUGGCCCAUUUAGCUUGGAUAAGUGAGACUCUACUGUACAUAAUCCCAGGCAGCAGGGAUGAUAAUAUAAUAAUUUAGUGUAAUAGUCGAUUGGUUAAUAUUUGUAUGAAUUUGGACAGCAAAUGUAACAUUUUACCUUGGUGUUGCUGUAGAUUGGUAUCAUUGCUGUUUUGUUGGGGGAAAGAGAGAUGUGAAAGAAUUUGUUGUGCAAUUGUGCUUUGUACAGACUGCUUGUGUUUUGUAUUACUGUACAAGAGAUAGAGCCUUCCUGUUUUAAGAAGUAUACUUCUGCUGUCUGCCUUUCUGCUGUUCAAAUCGGGCAAAGUCCAGAGUUGCUAAGAACCGGAGCUGCUUGUACACUGAGUAAAUAUGCUAAGUUAAAAGUA